rnacentral:rRNA from 1 species
GACGAACGCUGGCGGCGUGCUUAACACAUGCAAGUCGAACGGAAAGGCCCUGCUUUUGUGGGGUGCUCGAGUGGCGAACGGGUGAGUAACACGUGAGUAACCUGCCCUUGACUUUGGGAUAACUUCAGGAAACUGGGCUUAUUACCGGAAAGAAGUUCUUGUGCCAGGUGGGGGUUGGGAAGGUUUCGCGGGUUGGGGAUGGACUCGCGGUUUAUCAGCUUGUUGGUGGGGUAGUGGCUUACCAAGGCUUUGACGGGUAGCCGGCCUGAGAGGGUGACCGGCCACAUUGGGACUGAGAUACGGCCCAGACUCCUACGGGAGGCAGCAGUGGGGAAUAUUGCACAAUGGGCGGAAGCCUGAUGCAGCAACGCCGCGUGCGGGAUGACGGCCUUCGGGUUGUAAACCGCUUUCGCCUGUGACGAAGCGUGAGUGACGGUAAUGGGUAAAGAAGCACCGGCUAACUACGUG